rnacentral:rRNA from 1 species
AUGAACGCUAGCUACAGGCUUAACACAUGCAAGUCGAGGGGCAGCAUGGUCUUAGCUUGCUAAGACUGAUGGCGACCGGCGCACGGGUGAGUAACACGUAUCCAACCUGCCGUCUACUCUUGGACAGCCUUCUGAAAGGAAGAUUAAUACAAGAUGGCAUCAUGAGUCCGCAUGUUCACAUGAUUAAAGGUAUUCCGGUAGACGAUGGGGAUGCGUUCCAUUAGAUAGUAGGCGGGGUAACGGCCCACCUAGUCUUCGAUGGAUAGAGGUUCUGAGAGGAAGGUCCCCCACAUUGGAACUGAGACGCGGUCCAAACUCCUACGGGAGGCAGCAGUGAGGAAUAUUGGUCAAUGGGCGAGAGCCUGAACCAGCCAAGUAGCGUGAAGGAUGACUGCCCUAUGGGUUGUAAACUUCUUUUAUAAAGGAAUAAAGUCGGGUAUGGAUACCCGUUUGCAUGUACUUUAUGAAUAAGGAUCGGCUAACUCCGUGCCAGCAGCCGCGGUAAUACGGAGGAUCCGAGCGUUAUCCGGAUUUAUUGGGUUUAAAGGGAGCGUAGAUGGAUGUUUAAGUCAGUUGUGAAAGUUUGCGGCUCAACCGUAAAAUUGCAGUUGAUACUGGAUAUCUUGAGUGCAGUUGAGGCAGGCGGAAUUCGUGGUGUAGCGGUGAAAUGCUUAGAUAUCACGAAGAACUCCGAUUGCGAAGGCAGCCUGCUAAGCUGCAACUGACAUUGAGGCUCGAAAGUGUGGGUAUCAAACAGGAUUAGAUACCCUGGUAGUCCACACGGUAAACGAUGAAUACUCGCUGUUUGCGAUAUACUGCAAGCGGCCAAGCGAAAGCGUUAAGUAUUCCACCUGGGGAGUACGCCGGCAACGGUGAAACUCAAAGGAAUUGACGGGGGCCCGCACAAGCGGAGGAACAUGUGGUUUAAUUCGAUGAUACGCGAGGAACCUUACCCGGGCUUAAAUUGCAGAUGAAUUACGGUGAAAGCCGUAAGCCGCAAGGCAUCUGUGAAGGUGCUGCAUGGUUGUCGUCAGCUCGUGCCGUGAGGUGUCGGCUUAAGUGCCAUAACGAGCGCAACCCUUGUUGUCAGUUACUAACAGGUUCCGCUGAGGACUCUGACAAGACUGCCAUCGUAAGAUGUGAGGAAGGUGGGGAUGACGUCAAAUCAGCACGGCCCUUACGUCCGGGGCUACACACGUGUUACAAUGGGGGGUACAGAGGGCCGCUACCACGCGAGUGGAUGCCAAUCCCCAAAACCUCUCUCAGUUCGGACUGGAGUCUGCAACCCGACUCCACGAAGCUGGAUUCGCUAGUAAUCGCGCAUCAGCCACGGCGCGGUGAAUACGUUCCCGGGCCUUGUACACACCGCCCGUCAAGCCAUGGGAGCCGGGGGUACCUGAAGUGCGUAACCGCGAGGAGCGCCCUAGGGUAAAACUGGUGACUGGGGCU